UACGGAGGGUGCGAGCGUUGUCCGGAAUCAUUGGGCGUAAAGCGCGCGUAGGUGGCUUCGUAAGUCCGUUGUGAAAGUCAAAGGCUCAACCUUUGAAAGCCGAUGGAUACUGUGGAGCUAGAGUACGGAAGAGGCGAGUGGAAUUCCUGGUGUAGCGGUGGAAUGCGCAGAUAUCAGGAGGAACACCAAUAGCGAAGGCAGCUCGCUGGGACGUUACUGACACUGAGGCGCGAAAGCGUGGGGAGCGAACAGG
rnacentral:rRNA from 1 species